rnacentral:rRNA from 1 species
UACGUAGGGCGCAAGCGUUGUCCGGAAUUAUUGGGCGUAAAGAGCUCGUAGGCGGUUUGUCGCGUCUGCUGUGAAAUCCCGAGGCUCAACCUCGGGCUUGCAGUGGGUACGGGCAGACUAGAGUGCGGUAGGGGAGACUGGAAUUCCUGGUGUAGCGGUGGAAUGCGCAGAUAUCAGGAGGAACACCGAUGGCGAAGGCAGGUCUCUGGGCCGCAACUGACGCUGAGGAG